rnacentral:rRNA from 1 species
CUACCCUAGCUGUGUUGGCUUUCUAACCCGCACCACUUAUCGUGGUGGGAGACAGUGUCAGGCGGGCAGUUUGACUGGGGCGGUCGCCUCCUAAAAGGUAACGGAGGCGCUCAAAGGUUCCCUCAGAAUGGUUGGAAAUCAUUCAUAGAGUGUAAAGGCAUAAGGGAGCUUGACUGCGAGACCUACAAGUCGAGCAGGGUCGAAAGACGGACUU